GAUGAACGCUGGCGGCGUGCCUAAUACAUGCAAGUCGAGCGAACAGACGAGGAGCUUGCUCCUCUGACGUUAGCGGCGGACGGGUGAGUAACACGUGGAUAACCUACCUAUAAGACUGGGAUAACUUCGGGAAACCGGAGCUAAUACCGGAUAAUAUAUUGAACCGCAUGGUUCAAUAGUGAAAGACGGUUUUGCUGUCACUUAUAGAUGGAUCCGCGCCGCAUUAGCUAGUUGGUAAGGUAACGGCUUACCAAGGCAACGAUGCGUAGCCGACCUGAGAGGGUGAUCGGCCACACUGGAACUGAGACACGGUCCAGACUCCUACGGGAGGCAGCAGUAGAGAAUCUUCCGCAAAGGGCGAAAGCUUGACGGAGCAACGCCGCGUGAGUGAUGAAGGUCUUCGGAUCGUAAAACUCUGUUAUUAGGGAAGAACAAAUGUGUAAGUAACUAUGCACGUCUUGACGGUACCUAAUCAGAAAGCCACGGCUAACUACGUG
rnacentral:rRNA from 1 species